CUGCUGCCUCCCGUAGGAGUCUGGGCCGUGUCUCAGUCCCAAUGUGGCCGGCCAACCUCUCAGUCCGGCUACUGAUCGUCGCCUUGGUGGGCCGUUACCCCGCCAACCAGCCAAUCAGACGCGAGUCCAUCUCAGAGCGAUAAAUCUUUGAUAUCCAGAGCCAUGCGACCCAGAUAUAUCAUGCGGUAUUAGCAGCUGUUUCCAGCUGUUAUUCCCCACUCCAAGGCAGGUUACU
rnacentral:rRNA from 1 species